rnacentral:rRNA from 1 species
CAGUAGCCGCGGUAACACGAAGGGUGCAAGCGUUAAUCGGAAUUACUGGGCGUAAAGCGUGCGCAGGCGGUUGUGUAAGACAGGUGUGAAAUCCCCGGGCUUAACCUGGGAACUGCGCUUGUGACUGCACAGCUAGAGUAUGGCAGAGGGGGGUGGAAUUCCACGUGUAGCAGUGAAAUCCGUAGAUAUUGGGAAGAACACCGGUGGCGAAGGCGACAACCUGGCUCAUUACUGACGCUGAGGCGCGAAAGCGUGGGGAGCAAACAGGAUUAGAUACCCGAGUAGUCCCUGUCUCUUAUAC